UAGGGAAUAUUAGAAAUGGACGAAAGUCUGAUCUAGCAACACCGCGUGUGCGAAGAAGGCCUUCGGGUCGUAAAGCACUUUUUGGAAGGAAUAGGAAGGAAUGUACUUCCAGAAUAAGUCUCGGCUAACUACGUGCCAGCAGCCGCGGUAACACGUAGGAGGCGAACGUUAUCCGGAUUUACUGGGCGUAAAGCGCGUGUAGGUGGUUUGGUAAGUAGAGCGUGAAAGCUCCUGGCUCAACUGGGAGAGGUCGUUCUAAACUGCCGGACUAGAGGAUGGUAGAGGGAGGUGGAAUUCCGGGUGUAGCGGUGGAAUGCGCAGAUAUCCGGAGGAACACCAGUGGCGAAAGCGGCCUCCUGGACCAUUCCUGACACUCAGACGCGAAAGCUAGGGUAGCAAACG
rnacentral:rRNA from 1 species